rnacentral:rRNA from 1 species
CAAAGCUUCGGCGCCCAAAGAUGAGUCUGCGGACCAUUAGGUAGUUGGUGGAUUAACAGCCCACCAAGCCAACGAUGGAUAGCUGGUCUGAGAGGAUGAUCAGCCACACUGGAACUGAGACACGGUCCAGACUCCUACGGGAGGCAGCAGUAAGGAAUAUUGCUCAAUGGGAGAAAUCCUGAAGCAGCAACGCCGCGUGAAGGAAGAAGGGUCUUCGACUUGUAAACUUCUGUAGAAGAGGAAAAAUACUCCGAUAUACUCGGAAUUGAUUGUACUCUUAAAGUAAGCCCCGGCUAACUACGUG